UAUGACGGAGUAAGUGUCAGGUUGUUGUGUCUGUCAUGUCUUUAUGACGUAGUAAGUGUCAGGCUGUUGUGUCUGUCAUGUCUUUAUGACGUAAUAAGUGUCAGGUUGUUGUAUCUGUCAUGUCUUUAUGACGUAGUAAGUGUCAGGUUGUUGUAUCUGUCAUGUCUUUAUGACGUAUUAAGUGUCAGGUUGUUGUAUCUGUCAUGUCUUUAUGACGUCGUAAGUGUCAGGUUGUUGUAUCUGUCAUGUCUUUAUGACGUAGUAAGUGUCAGGUUGUUCAGCUCCUAUGUAUAUUCGUAAGUACAUUUUUGUCUGCAUACCCAGACUGUGUGAGGCAAUGAUAAUUUGGUAAUUAUACGUGAUUUUUUUCUAGAAACACAGC